rnacentral:lncRNA from 1 species
CAGUAGCUGGGACUGCAGGCACAUGCCACCACGCCCAGACGUGGGCAACUCCCAAGUUUUCCAUCUUCACUCCACUCCUCAACUGAGUUGCAGGUUGCCUGUGCUGCAUGGAAGAACAGUUGACUUUGCUGAUAGGAAACGUCUCAUUGCAUCCUCUUUCCACACCAUCUGUCUGACCUGGACCCAUUCCAAACACUACGGCUUUGCUGGCAGAAUGGUCUUCCUGCUACAGAAGUUUUGUAAUCUGCUAAUUGACAGGGGACAUCGUCUCACUAUAUUGCCCCAGGCUGGAGCAAAGUGGGGCUAUUCACAGGUGUGAUCACAGCGUACUACAGCCUCUAACUCCUGGGCUCAAACGAUUCUCUGCCUCAGCCUCCCGAGUAGUCAAUUAUUUUUUUCUACAGGUGGGCUGAGGACAGAAAAAUCCUAAAGAUGGAAGUAUCAUUAAAAUCGUGC